UUCAACCCCCUCACUUCAGCACCC
rnacentral:piRNA from 1 species